GGCAGGCAGAGCUUUGGUAUUAGACUUGCACGUGCUGUGGGAAGGGGCAGAUAGAUUACAUCGAGUGAAAUCUUGUUCCUUUCUCAGUGCAGCUUUUCCUGCACAUGAUUAGUCUGCUUCAGGACAUGUUGCCACGCUGUCAAUGAUACCGUCUAUGGAAAUUUCCAGAACGGGGCACCGCACCGCCACUGCAGGCAGGCAUCGACUGCUGACCACUAGUUAUACCGUUCUGAUCCGGAGCUGCCUAAAGCAGUGAACACAAGCUGUGUGUUGGUUCACAACGGGUGCAUGAGGUGCUGUGCUGUCUCUAGCAGUGAGUAUGAAAGGGAUGAAGAGAGCAAAGCAUUCUUCCUGGUGCCAAAAACCCAUGCAGGAUGUGUGUAGUUCUUCAUACUCGAUGGCACGGACUGUGUAUGUCUGGGAGAAUUGCUGUUCAUUUCCCACUGUGACUGUCCUGCCCUCCUCUUGAGCAGGAGGUCAUUGAGCAGGUGAAUACCAGCCUGCAUAAGAAAUUGUGUCUGACCAUCUGUGAGCCUCAGACCAAAGCUCUGCAGCUUCAGACUGACUCGUCAGCUGAGCUGAGGAGCAUUUGGUGUGGUUGCAGCUGUGGUCAGCAAAUGAGUGGCUCUUCUGCAGCAGCUCCUUAUAGCUCUCCAAGAGAAAUUGGUGACACCUGCAAAAGCUGCAGUCUUGAGCUACAGCUUAAGCCUGUUUAACUGGCACAAGAGCUUUUUCUGAAUAAAGUGUUCCCAUAAAGCUGC